UGAGAUUGAGAGCAUGAUCGAGAACAAGGAUUCAGAGAGAAGAAGCUCCAUCGAACUGUCUAUGAAGCAUGGCCGCUCUCUCUCUCUCUCUCUCUCUCUCUCUC